rnacentral:misc_RNA from 1 species
AAAUCAAGACUCUCCCCAAUGAUUUUGCCAUUGUGUUCCAAAGCUGGCACCCUAUUAACAGAGUAAACUUUCUCCCCAUACCAAGAAGGCCUACUUUGAAGGUUUAAAGGAACAAGGUGGAUUUUGUCUUGUAAUCCCUUAUAGUUCCUAGUGAUCCACACACGCUGUGCAAAUGGACAUGUGUAUGAAGUGUACAGCCUUGUGGUUCCGUCGAAGAGUGGAGGUUGGUCUGCAGUAGCAUCCAACACCGGAGGCAAAUUCUCUGGCACGCUCUUAUCUAAUAAAGCCAUUUGCUUCUUUGAUCAGCGAAGACUUGAGACUGCAAUGUGUCUUCUGUGCAACGCGGGAGGGUUAGUGAUAUGGUA